rnacentral:rRNA from 1 species
AUACGUAGGUGGCAAGCGUUGUCCGGAAUUAUUGGGCGUAAAGCGCGCGCAGGCGGUCCUUUAAGUCUGAUGUGAAAGCCCACGGCUCAACCGUGGAGGGUCAUUGGAAACUGGGGGACUUGAGUGCAGAAGAGGAAAGUGGAAUUCCAAGUGUAGCGGUGAAAUGCGUAGAGAUUUGGAGGAACACCAGUGGCGAAGGCGACUUUCUGGUCUGUAACUGACGCUGAGGCGCGAAAGCGUGGGGAGCAAACAGGAUUAGAUACCCUGGUAGUCCACGCCGUAAACGAUGAGUGCUAAGUGUUGGGGGGUUUCCGCCCCUCAGUGCUGCAGCUAACGCAUUAAGCACUCCGCCUGGGGAGUACGGUCGCAAGACUGAAACUCAAAGGAAUUGACGGGG